AUUGAACGCUGGCGGCAUGCUUUACACAUGCGAGUCGAACGGCAGCGCGGGCUUCGGCCUGGCGGCGAGUGGCGAACGGGUGAGUAAUACAUCGGAACGUGCCCAGUAGUGGGGGAUAGCUCGGCGAAAGCCGGAUUAAUACCGCAUACGACCUGAGGGUGAAAGCGGGGGAUCUUCGGACCUCGCGCUAUUGGAGCGGCCGAUGGCAGAUUAGCUAGUUGGUGGGGUAAAGGCCUACCAAGGCGACGAUCUGUAGCUGGUCUGAGAGGACGACCAGCCACACUGGGACUGAGACACGGCCCAGACUCCUACGGGAGGCAGCAGUGGGGAAUUUUGGACAAUGGGCGAAAGCCUGAUCCAGCAAUGCCGCGUGUGUGAUGACGGCCUUCGGGUUGUAAAGCACUUUUGGCGGGAACGAAAAGGACUGUGCCAAUACCACGGUUCGAUGACGGUACCCGCAGAAUAAGCACCGGCUAACUACGUG
rnacentral:rRNA from 1 species